rnacentral:lncRNA from 1 species
UAUGCAAAUGUACAGAGCAAGGAUGUUAGCAAUGGAGGAGAUUCAAGGUAACCAUGCUGAGCUGUUUCAGAAAUUGCCCACAUAUGCUCAUAUGGUACAACAAAGCAAUCCUGGAAGUGUUGUCACACUACAGUGUGAUAUUGCAAAUGAUGAAAAUGCCUCCAUCCCUAGGGGUCCAACAUUCAAGAGAUUCUUUCUAGGAUUGGCUGCUGUGAGAGAU